CCUACGGGAGGCUGCAGUGAGGAAUAUUGGUCAAUGGACGCAAGUCUGAACCAGCCAUGCCGCGUGAGGGAUGACGGCUCUAUGAGUUGUACACUGCUUUUGUCCGGGGGCAAAUCCCGCUACGUGUAUCGGUUUGCGAGUAUCUUACGAAUAAGGAUCGGCUAACUCCGUGCCAGCAGCCGCGGUAAUACGGAGGAUUCAAGCGUUAUCCGGAUUUAUUGGGUUUAAAGGGUGCGUAGGCGGUUUGAUAAGUUAGAGGUGAAAUCCCGGGGCUCAACGCCGGCACUGCAUCUGAUACUGUCAGGCUAGAGUUUAGUUGCGGUAGGCGGAAUGUAUGGUGUAGCGGUGAAAUGCAUAGAGAUCAUACAGAACACCGAUUGCGAAGGCAGCUUACCAAACUACGACUGACGUUGAGGCACGAAAGCGUGGGGAGCAAACAGGAUUAGAUACCCGAGUAGUC
rnacentral:rRNA from 1 species